rnacentral:tRNA from 1 species
AGUGGCCGAGUGGUUGAGACGUCCGCUUGGGAACCCAGGGGACGUAGGUUCAAGCCCGGUAGUC